GGGCCUCCAUGACUCGAGUUAAUUGGGCCAACUUUGGAGACCGGUUCCCAGCCCAGUAAAGUAUGGCCCAUAACUUCCCCGAUAGAUACACCGACUCGGGCAAAUCCUAAACCAAACCCUAAAUUCUGAAACCCUAGCAACUAAUCGCAUCAAGCCCUAUAUAUAUCUCUCACCUCUUUUCUCUCUGUCAUCAUCUCUUCCGCUAGAUUCUGCCUCCUCUUAUUACUUCACCUUCUUGUCCUCGGUCCAUCGUAUUGAGAUUUCAUCUUCUGAUCAAGAAAUCUGCUUUCAGGGUUUUUGUUAUUUUUGUAUGUUCUUCUUCAUAAAUAUGUAUGUAUAGGUUUACGUAUUGAUGAAUAGGGUGUGCGGUGAUGAAGCAAUUUAUGUGGACUAGAGUUUCUGAUCUGGGUCUGGAUCCCAGAACCUGACGACUAACCCUUGGCUGUCUGAGCACUCUCUCUCUCUAAAUCUUACUAGUAGCUGUUUUCCCUUUUUUCCUCCCCUAUAUCUAUUUCGAAUUCAUGAACGUAGAUAUGGGUGUUUUCCGAAAACCCUCUGUUUGCAAAUCUUUUCAUUCAAUGGGGCUUAUGAUGAUAAAUUCAAUUAUCUUAGCGGAUUUCAGUGAGGUUAUAUUAAUCAAUGAUCUGAUUUGUUACACACACUGAAGCCUUGAUUUUUUCCCCUUGUUAUUUUUUUAAUUUUUUGAUUUAUAUUCAUCUAGCUUAUUAUCGAUUUUUAUAAAAGGAUUCGAAAAUAUGUGGAAGGAAUUGUCUGCUGUGAUGAGGCAAGGCACCAGAUGGUGUUUAUAGGGUAGUGGAAGAGGCAAACAUUGCUCUCCGUGAUCCCAUUUUAUAAACGACUUCUCCUUCCACUGAGCAUCCCUUCCAUUCCUAUUUUCCCCAACUAAUAAAUUAGUUUUCAAUUUUUAAUAUACUUCUAUUGCAAAUUUAGUUGUUUUCCAUAUCGGUAUUUAAUCUGUUUAGUGAUACUUUUGUAUAGGUGAAUGGAUUUUCUGUUCCUUUACGUAUGUGAAAAGGGCAAUUAUUUGCGCCCAUUACCAAUUCUGGGGGAUAAUUUGUUCCUCUUGGUGUAAUGGCUUGGGCGCGAUAUUCAGAUUUGUGGCCAUCCUGAUUGAUGGCUCCUUCAAUGCCAUUAGAUCCCGGAAACACCACAUAAAUUUUUGCCUACGAUUCUAUCCUUCAUGGUCUAAGAUUAUUGCCUUGAGAAUUCUUUGAAGAUCCCUGAUUGUAUACUUGGUUGGUCUCUUUGGUUUCUCGGAAUGAUCUCAGCACUCUAAGAUGAACUGGCAAUUGAAAAUGAUGUACCAUAAUCAUCUGUGAUGUGGAGAAUGUCCAAUAAAAAUCUUGAUAUUGAGAAUUGGAGAAUUUGUUAACAUGAAUCAAGUACCCAAAUCCUGGUCUGUAACCCGUCGAAUGCAAAUUCGGAAAAAUGUUACAGUAUCUGCUAAAUAUACGAAUUCUGUUACACAUAAGUUGACAAGAAAUCUAGUUAUGACCCUUGUGCUAAUUGCAUAGUUGCAAUCUGGUAAUUUAUGAUCAGUGGUGGACGCUUAACAGCUCCUGAGGAAAAUGCAGAUGGAGAAAACUGAAGCCUAUUGAAAUGGGUAUUGAUGCCUGAGUUGAUUUACGAAAGCUAAAUUCAUCUGAAGUGCACCCAUUUGAUGUACCUGGCCUCUUAUUGAAAUGGGUGUUGAGAUUUGAAAUUGGAAUUGAUUCUUGUUCUAUAUGCAAAACAAAAGUCCUGAUGACCCGAUCUCAAGUAGCUAUGAUGGGGAAUAGAUACUAGUGUUGUUUGGUAGUUUGCCCAAUGGGAUUGUCAAUUGCUGUUUGAACCGUUGCUGUGGUUUUGUCAAGCUCCAAAACCCUUCUCUUGAGUAGCACUUGACCCAGAACCAGAAAAGGAUUUGUUCUACACAUGCGUUGAUUAAUGGAACAACUCUGAUUUGUUGAGUCUAAGCUUUGCCUGCCUGCCUGCCUGCCUUUUCCAAAACUUCUUAUCUAUUUGGCACUUGUCAUUCACCACGACCCUAAAGCUGUGGAGUCGAUGCUUUUUUGUCACAAAUAUGUUUAAAUGCAGGAGAGAAAAUGUUAAUGACAGUGAGUACGUUGGAAUGCUUGUGUGUCACACCUUGUCACCUUGAGCACCUUCAAAUAGAGGGAUUACAUUGGAAUGCUUGAAUGAAUGAUUCUACCAUCCGGCAAAUUUUGUCCAGCAGAUGGCUCAACAACGCGUAAGGGUGUUGCUGAGACUUGAUAUACCACUUUGUCCUCCCUUGAUUUUCAGUCCUCGUCAGUCGUCCCUUCACGAUAAUUGUACGAAAGGCCUUGAAGUGCAAGUGGCAUGUAUGGGCAUAUCGGACUUGGUCUAGGCUGAAGGAUUCAAGGGAUACAGUUAAAGGAUCACUAUGCUACAAGCUAUAAACUUUUAUGGAGUAUUAAAAAAAGAGGGUUCAUCAUUUUAUGAAGCAUUUUGUUGGUCUCUGUAUCAAUUACUUGUUGUCGUCCGUAACUCAUAAAGCCACUAGGAAAAUUUGACAUUGACUAUACAUGAGGCUCUUGUAUAUCAACUUCUCUAUUAGACAGGUCCAUUUGUUACUAUCACAGUAUCACAAGAGGAUGUACCCAAAAAAAAAAAAGUUUCACAAGAGGAGGCUCACUUGGGAUAGAAGUGUGUUGAAAACUUGAAGUAUCAUAAGUCGCAACCAAUUGCAUCAAGGCCUAUAGACAUUUUCACCCCCAAUCGUUAUGCUUUUGUAUGUAUAGUUUUGCAUAUUGUUCUACCUUUAUUAGAUUAUCUCACGAAAGCUAUAUUCUCAUGAAGUACACCACAUUUGAUGGGCAUGCCUGCUCGAAGACUUUGCCGAUGAUGACAAGAAGUUCAAUUUUGUUCCCAUCUGCAGUGAUCCUCGCAAAAACGGAUGAGUGGCUUGUCUAAAGUAGCUCUUACGGGGAGUUGUUUACCAGGUAAGUCCAGCAUUGAAGAACUGUGGUGCUAUCAACCAUAGAUGUCAAGCUAUGUAGCGGUAAAACUGGACAGUCCAAGGAGUUUUGCUUGAGGGCUUGCUGAAUGGCAUUUUUAACUGGUUGACCUGUGAUGUGGCUUUGUCAAGUUCCGAACAUUGAUUUUAUUGACUAGCAGCCAGAGCCCAGAAAGGGAAUUCUUUUACAAUUGUGUUGGAUUAGAGGAACAAACCUGUUGUGAGUCACGCUUGCCUGCCUUUUCCCAAAAUUCAGCGCAAGAUAUAACUUAUCAGGAGCUGAAAGCUAUGCAAUUGGUAUAUCCGUUGUUAAAGUUAUGACAGUGAAAUGAGACCGACCCACCUCCCAAAUGUUCUCGAGAGUGUACUCUUCGAGUGGCUACAUGUUGCUUGCUAGUCUCCUCGAACAUGGUCUGAUCCUAAGGAAGGAUGCUUACAUUGGAAUCCUUGAGGAAACGAUUAAGCCGUCGUCCAACAAAUGGCUCAACAACGCAGAAGGCUAUUGGAUGAGAGUUGGUGUGCCAACUAUUUGACUUCCCUAGAUUUCCAGUCCUCAUUCCUUCAUGAAAAUUUCGUGAAAGGCCUCUGAAACACUAGUGGCAUGUGCUGGGCAUAUCGGAUUUGCAUGUAUGCUCAAUAAUUCAGGGGAUGCGGUACGGAUUACGAAACUAUAGACCAAAAUUGUCUUGAAAAACAGAAAAGUUAAUUUUUGGAAGCAUUUUGUUGGUCUGUCUAGUUCUCUGUAUCAACUACCUGUAGUGAUAUGUAUUCUUUAGCCACUAGGAAAAAUCGAUCUUGACAUUAUCUGCAGCUCUCGUGUAUCAACUUGGC